rnacentral:misc_RNA from 1 species
AGUCGUAACAAGGUUUCCGUAGGUGAACCUGCGGAAGGAUCAUUACCGAGUGAGGGUCCCUCGGGGCCCAACCUCCCAUCCGUGUUGUCCUGACACCUGUUGCUUCGGCGGGCCCGCCGUGGUUCACGCCCCGGCCGCCGGGGGGUUCACGCCCCCGGGCCCGCGCCCGCCGAAGACCCCUGGAACGCUGCCUGGAAGGUUGCCGUCUGAGUAUACAAUCAAUCAAUUAAAACUUUCAACAACGGAUCUCUUGGUUCCGGCAUCGAUGAAGAACGCAGCGAAAUGCGAUAAGUAAUGUGAAUUGCAGAAUUCCGUGAAUCAUCGAAUCUUUGAACGCACAUUGCGCCCCCUGGCAUUCCGGGGGGCAUGCCUGUCCGAGCGUCAUUGCUAACCCUCCAGCCCGGCUGGUGUGUUGGGCCGCCGUCCCCCCUCCCCGGGGGACGGGCCCGAAAGGCAGCGGCGGCGUCGCGUCCGGUCCUCGAGCGUAUGGGGCUCUGUCACACGCUUCAGUAGAACCGGCCGGCUUGCUGGCCAUCACCUAUAUUUUUCUCUUAGGUUGACCUCGGAUCAGGUAGGGAUACCCGCUGAACUUAAGCAUAUCAAUAA